rnacentral:rRNA from 1 species
UGGGGAAUAUUGCACAAUGGGGGAAACCCUGAUGCAGCGACGCCGCGUGAAGGAAGAAGUAUCUCGGUAUGUAAACUUCUAUCAGCAGGGAAGACAAUGACGGUACCUGACUAAGAAGCCCCGGCUAACUACGUGCCAGCAGCCGCGGUAAUACGUAGGGGGCAAGCGUUAUCCGGAUUUACUGGGUGUAAAGGGAGCGUAGACGGAUCUGCAAGUCUGGAGUGAAAGCCCGGGGCUCAACCCCGGGACUGCUUUGGAAACUGUGGAUCUAGAGUGCCGGAGAGGUAAGCGGAAUUCCUAGUGUAGCGGUGAAAUGCGUAGAUAUCACGAAGAACUCCGAUUGCGAAGGCAGCCUACUAAACUGCCACUGACAUUGAUGCUCGAAAGUGUGGGUAUCAAACAGGAUUAGAUACC